rnacentral:lncRNA from 1 species
GAUAACUUGCUUUUUCUUUACAUUUGACUAAGCUCUUAAAAAUUACACAGAUGUUAUAUCUGGCUCUAUGCAUUGCAGUUCAUCUCUCUCUCUCUUUUUUUUUUUUUUUUUAAUAUCUUUACACUCAAUCUAACAACUAACUUGGAUUAGAAUGAAACAUUUAAAUCAUCUGGAAAUGUAGCUGUUAUUCAGAAAUGUAGAUGGGGGCGUACCUGGCUACGUUUCUCUCACAUUUCUGCCAAUCAAUGAAUGAAUCAAAUACAUCAGAGGCUUGCUUGAAAGUCGGUCACUUGAAGCAUGUCUGAGGAGGGAGAGAUAUGUAAGACUUUCUUUUACUAGACACAGCCUGUACUGCUCCUCAAAUGCAAAGUACUGUUAAGGGCUGCUAUAUUUAUAGUUCACCAAAACUGUUUUUUUCCAGCUGGGAGAGAGCUAUAUUACCCAAAUGCUGUUUGGUUAGACAAAGUAUUAAAAAGGAACAUACUGAGCACCUAAAGGAAGAGUCCAAGGCUACUUUGUAUAGACUAAACAACAAACAAAUGGGAGCUGGAGCUUAAAGAAGGAAGGAGGCAUCCAGGAGAAGACGCAAUGAAGAGGAGAG